CCGGGAUAUGAUAGUUAAUUGGUUACGCCUAACAGUUUGGGUGCAAUGGGUCGUUGGGCUUUUGCUCACCUUCUUCUUUGUCUUGAUGAAGCAACGUGCAUUUGUUUUCUUUGACACACCAUUUUUCUUGGAGAUUAAUGGCAUGCUCAACCGACAAAAGCUAGUAAUCUCUUAGUUAUACUAGCAUGCAUAAUUAAUAAAAAAAAGGAAA
rnacentral:lncRNA from 1 species